GACGAACCGUGCGAACGUUGUUCGGAUUCACUGGGCUUAAAGGGCGCGUAGGCGGCUUGCCAAGUCAGGGGUGAAAUCUUUCGGCUCAACCGGAAAAGUGCCUUUGAUACUGGCGAGCUAGAGGGAGGUAGGGGUGCGUGGAACUUCUGGUGGAGCGGUGAAAUGCGCAGAUAUCAGGAGGAACACCAAUUGCGAAGGCAGCUCGCUGGGACGUUACUGACGCUGAGACGCGAAAGCGUGGGGAGCAAACAGG
rnacentral:rRNA from 1 species